rnacentral:rRNA from 1 species
UACGAAGGGGGCUAGCGUUGCUCGGAAUCACUGGGCGUAAAGGGUGCGUAGGCGGGUCUUUAAGUCAGGGGUGAAAUCCUGGAGCUCAACUCCAGAACUGCCUUUGAUACUGAGGAUCUUGAGUCCGGGAGAGGUGAGUGGAACUGCGAGUGUAGAGGUGAAAUUCGUAGAUAUUCGCAAGAACACCAGUGGCGAAGGCGGCUCACUGGCCCGGUACUGACGCUGAGGUGCGAAAAGCGUGGGGAGCAAACAGG